rnacentral:rRNA from 1 species
AACGAACGCUGGCGGCAGGCUUAACACAUGCAAGUCGAGCGCCCCGCAAGGGGAGCGGCAGACGGGUGAGUAACGCGUGGGAAACUACCCUUUGGUACGGAAUAACACAGAGAAAUUUGUGCUAAUACCGUAUGUGCCCUUCGGGGGAAAGAUUUAUCGCCAUAGGAUGUGCCCGCGUAGGAGUAGCUAGUUGGUGGGGUAAGGGCGCACCAAGGCGACGAUCCUUAGCUGGUCUGAGAGGAUGACGAGCCACACUGGGCCUGAGACACGGCCCAGACUCCUACGGGAGGCAGCGGUGGGGAAUAUUGGACACGGGGCGCAAGCGUGAUCCAGCCAUGCCGCGUGAGUGAUGAAGGCCUUAGGGUUGUAAAGCUCUUUCACACACGACGAUAAUGACGGUAGGGGGAGAAGAAGCCCCGGCUAACUUCGUGCCAGCCGCCGCCGUAAUAC